rnacentral:tRNA from 1 species
AAAAUUUUAGUUUAAAUUAAAAAUAAUUCAUUUACAUUGAAUAGAUUUUAUGAAAUAUAAAAAAUUUAA